UACGUAGGGGGCAAGCGUUAUCCGGAUUCAUUGGGCGUAAAGAGCGCGUAGGCGGCUUGUUAAGCGAGAUGUGAAAUCUGGGGGCUCAACCCGCAGCUUGCAUCUCGAACUGGCAGGCUUGAGUCUGGUAGAGGAGUGUGGAAUUCCCAGUGUAGCGGUGAAAUGCGCAGAUAUUGGGAGGAACACCAGUGGCGAAGGCGGCACUCUGGGCCACGACUGACGCUGAGGCGCGAAAGCUAGGGGAGCGAACAGG
rnacentral:rRNA from 1 species